GACGAACGCUGGCGGCGUGCUUAACACAUGCAAGUCGAGCGGAUCGGCGGACGGGUGAGUAACGCGUGAGUAACUGCCCCCCUCUCUGGGAUCACAGUUGGAAACGGCUACUAAUGCCAGAUCGUGGGGGAUGACUCGCGUCCUAUCAGCUUGUUGGUGGGGUAGGGGCCUACCAAGGCGACGACGGGUAGCCGGCCUGGGAGUGCGACCGGCCACAUUGGGCUGAGAGAGGGGCAAAACGGAUACGGGAGGCAGCAGUGGGGAAUAGUGCACAAUGGGGGAAGCCCUGAUGCAGCAACGUCGCGUGCGGGAGGACGGCUUUCGGGUUGUAAACUGCUUUCAGCCAUGACGCGGUAUUGUAAGAAGAAGCAACGGCUAACUACGUGCCAGCAGCCGCGGUAAUAC
rnacentral:rRNA from 1 species